rnacentral:rRNA from 1 species
UACAUAGGGUGCAAGCGUUGUCCGGAAUUAUUGGGCGUAAAGAGCUUGUAGGCGGUUUGUCGCGUCUGCUGUGAAAUUUCGGGGCUCAACCCCGAACUUGCAGUGGGUACGGGCAGACUAGAGUGUGGUAGGGGAGACUGGAAUUCCUGGUGUAGCGGUGAAAUGCGCAGAUAUCAGGAGGAACACCGAUGGCGAAGGCAGGUCUCUGGGCCAUAACUGACGCUGAGAAGCGAAAGCAUGGGGAGCGAACAGG